UGAUAUCUAGAUAAGUGCGUUUACACAA
rnacentral:sRNA from 1 species